rnacentral:tRNA from 1 species
GGUUUUAUAGUUUAAAAUAAAAUGUUAAAUUGCAAAUUUAAAGAUAGAUUUUUAUCUUAAAACUU